GGAGAGACUGCGUAUUGCGUUGUGAAGGGAGAGACGGAGGAGGGGUUUGAACAGCGUUGCGCAGGAAUGAAAGAAGCUGGUAAGAGAAGAGGCUGCGGCACUUCAAAGUGUGCUGUGGAUGGGCAGCGCGUUGACAACCCAAGGGUGGCACCAGGAGAUGCAGCGCAGCCCUCUCCAGCAGCAGGGUGCAUUUAUUCGUCUUGCUAAUUCUUGAAGUAGAAGGCAGGAGACGGGCAGCGGUACUGCAGCUCGUCUGCGACUUUGAAGCUAAGUUGGGAAGUGGAAGAUGUGGAUGUGAAAGAAGAACUCAGUUACUGGGACGCUCCCUUUUCUUCCCCUAGCUGUCCCCAUGCCUCAGCCCGGGUUCCCCUUGCAUUCCUGUAGGUUUCCCUUCCAUCCCCCUGGCUGCCCUGUGCUUUCCCCAAGGUUGCCCUUUCCUUUCCCAUGACAGCCCACCCACAAUUCCCUCAGCGCCCCAAUAGCCCCCUCAGUAUUUCCUAUCCAAGAACCUGUAGCUACCCCACGACCCCCACAGAGCCCCAUAGGCCCU